rnacentral:rRNA from 1 species
AUGCUGGCCGUGUUCGACCAGACGGUGGCCAAGUGCCCGGAGGGCCUCCGCAGCCCGCCGGCGGCCGGUGCGGCGGCGGGGGGCGGAGGCGCGGCCGCGCUGAUGAAGGGCUUCGCCGCCGCCAACGACGCCGCGGUCACCGUCAGCCUCGGCUCCGCCGGCGCCCUCGCCUACUCCUCCGCCAACAAGAACCCCCUCGUCCCCAGGAUGUUCGGUUCUGUAAAUGACAUAUUUUGCCUGUUCCAAGGACAUGUUGAGAACAUUGGCAACCUGAAGCAACACUAUGGUCUGAGCAAGACAGCAAAUGAGGUUACCAUCCUGAUUGAGGCCUACAGAACCCUCCGGGACAGGGGCCCACUCCCAGCUAGCCAGGUCGUGAGAGAUCUCAGUGGAAGGUUCGCUUUCAUCCUCUACGAUACCGUGUCGAAAUCCACCUUCGUCGCUGCUGAUGCUGAUGGCAGUAUCCCCUUCUUCUGGGGAGUUGACUCUGAAGACCACCUUGUGUUCUCUGACGAUAAUGAGCUUCUCAAGGCAGGCUGUGGAAACUCAUUUGCGCCAUUCCCCAAAGGCUGCUUCUACACCACAUCUGGAGGGCUGCAGAGCUUCGAGCACCCGCUGAACGAGCUGAAGGCCGUGCCACGUGUGGACAGCCAGGGCCAGAUGUGCGGCUCCACCUUCAAGGUCGACAGCGAGGCCAAGAAGGACUCGGGGAUCCCUCGCGUCGGUAGUGCUGCUGAUUGGUCUAACCACUUCUAG